CACGGUGAAUACGUUCCCGGGCCUUGUACACACCGCCCGUCACACCAUGGGAGUGGGUUGCAAAAGAAGUAGGUAGCUUAACCUUCGGGAGGGCGCUUACCACUUUGUGAUUCAUGACUGGGGUGAAGUCGUAACAAGGUAACCGUAGGGGAACCUGCGGUUGGAUCACCUCCUUACCUUAAAGAA
rnacentral:rRNA from 3 species